GGGACCAUGGCGCAUCUGGUUAGCGCGUAGGCCUCAUAUGUCUCAGCACAUGAUCUGAUUAAACAUCAGAGUUAACCUGAGGUCGUGAGUUCGAUCUUCACUAGUCCCA